rnacentral:rRNA from 1 species
AUUCUGGCUCAGGAUGAACGCUAGCUACAGGCUUAACACAUGCAAGUCGAGGGGCAGCAUGGUCUUAGCUUGCUAAGGCCGAUGGCGACCGGCGCACGGGUGAGUAACACGUAUCCAACCUGCCGUCUACUCUUGGACAGCCUUCUGAAAAGGAAGAUUAAUACAAGAUGGCAUCAUGAGUCCGCAUGUUCACAUGAUUAAAGGUAUUCCGGUAGACGAUGGGG